rnacentral:tRNA from 1 species
GGGGUUGUGGCUCAGUGGUAGAGCACUUGCCUAGCACAUGUGAGGCCCUGGGUUCGAUUCUCAGCACUACCU